GCGGGCGUGGCUCAGCCUGGUAGAGCGGCUGCUUGCCAUGCAGCAGGUCGCGGGUUCAAAUCCCGUCGCCCGCUCCA
rnacentral:tRNA from 1 species